GGCAUCGUCGAUAUUGGUGUGUCGAUACCUGUCAAGAGAAUUUACAUCACCUAAAGCAAUCAACUCAAGUUGCACGCACGACUGAGACAAUCUGAAUGGUUCGGUUGCAAAUGGACCACUGUGUUCAGGCAAAUUUCGAAUGUUAUUCAACUUUGUCGUGAUGCAAGUUCAGCAGCCUCAAAUGGAACCAUUACUCCUUUUAGAGAUAUUGUCAUUUUAGCAUCAAUGCACUGAUCCGCUAUCAAGUUAAAAUAUCUUGCACGGUACUCAACUUUAAAAGUGUUACGAGUUUCUUGAGGCUCGAGUAUAUCGCAGAAGCGAACGUGAGUAAGCCCGAACGGAGCAAAAUCUUCACUUCAAUCGACCGAGGUUUGCGAUUGGAAUCUAUUUUUGACAAUUUCGAUUGGUUCGAGUGCAAUGGACCACAGCUCCCAAAAAGAGGACUCCAUCCACAACGACGAGCUAACAGCACGUUCCCACUUAUUACAUGUCGUAAAAUUAUGCCGUAACAGCCAGUGGUAUUAUUCGACCGUUGGAUAAUUACACGGCACUUGUCGGAGAUGGACGCUAUUGCAAUUUCAGGAUUAGCGCGCCCGUCGACCAGUUUGUUCAAAUAUCCUGUUCUAUUGUCUACACAAGCACCUCCCUGUCUUUGGAAAUUCGUAAUGUGCUCGACGUUGAAGCCAGUCCUCCAGUUUUGAACCGGGUCUACACUUCGAGAACGUAUUACCUGGACGUGUACUCUCGCCUUCGCAAACCGGACUGGUUUUCUUGCAGGAGGACAAUGAUUCCAGCACCUCCAUCGACCAUGACGGAUUAAAAAUUCUGUCAGCAUGGAAUGGUUUCGACGGCCAACGGGACUAUCCGACUAAUAGACUGCAUAACUGCGGGAGAAUGGAGAUAUUGCCUAUUUUACAUCGUGGCACCUGUUGAUCAUCAGAUUUAUUUUCUUGCUAGGCAGUCCAGUUAACUACCAAUACGAGUACAUUUACUAUGACUGGAGCAAUUGAGGGUGAAGGGCUUUAACUGCUAAGCGAUGGUUCUUAUUUGAAGCCUGAAUUAAACAAGAUAUAUCUGUCAAAAACCAGGAAUGUUUAUCUUCAAUCUCGAUUCAACAGCACUGACCGCAUUGUUGGACGUCAAUAACAGCAUUGCCAGUGUCAACGUC